CAGUGAUUGGCUCAGGCCCACCCCGAGCUGGACCAAUCAGAGUGAAGAGUGAGACUUUGGCCAGGAAUGCUGAAACAAAGACUGAGCCUUAGUGUUGGAUUUGAAGGAAGAAGCCCCAGGAGCUGCUGAGAGCUGUUUUAUAACCAUGAGCCACAGCUUGCUGAGAUCUGAGCACAUAAUCAGAUACACUGACAUGGAUGUUACCGUGUGGACAAGGAAUGAGCAACCUUGAAAAAUGUAUUUUUCUAUAUGCUGUUUUGGUUUUAAGAUCUUGAGAAAGAAGUCCAGGAAUUCACAAGCUUGAAAAGGAGAUGCUGAGGCCACUGUGAAGACUUGAAUACUUUUGCCUUGGAGGCAGUCCCAGGCCCACCACUCUCAGCAAAGGUCUCCUCCUGCCCUUUCCCAGAUCUAACACAGGACAGCAGGCGGAGAGGAACCACCCCCUUUUCCUUCUCACUAUUCUGGCUCUUGUUAGAGUGACAGUGGGAUGGGAACUAGGACUCUUUGUCAUUGCCAGGGGUUGCCUUGAAGGACUGGAGUCUGAGAGUAAGCAAACUUUAUGACCCACAAAAAAAAAACCAGCUUCAGGAAAGCUUAAUGGAGUUCCUGGUGUGAACUUAGAAGCAAGGUUUGAUAAUUAAUUCUGACCUGGCUAUUUGUGAAUAAACAAAGAUUAAUACAGUGAUUUCCAUUUUGCUGAGUAUUUUUCGGCCUCUGAACAGGACGGUCACAUGGUUUUGCUCUUGUUUGCAUGAAGCGAAAUUCUGGGGUCCUCUCAAUAAACCCACAAGAGUUUCUAUCUCAUAAUGAGAGCUGGCUUCUUGUGUUUUUGAGGCAGAAUUUUGACAGUGUUUCUUGUGCAUUCUUCACCAUCAUUUGGAGCCACCACCUUGGCAACGUCUGUAGACAAGGAGAUAAGGGACUCUCAAAUCUAUCCUUGAAGAGGAAGUGGCCCCAGAGUUCCGAUAAAAUCCUGCCGUAUACGGGCUGUAUAAAAGCAAUUUGACCACUUGCGAUUUUGAGUCUUAAGAAUCUUUCAAUUUCUCAGCCUCUGGCAGGAGUAAGAGAAUAAUAUCCUGGAUGUUUAUAAAAUUCGAUAACCUUUUAAAUCCAUCCCACUUGAAGGAAUAGCUAGAUUUCUGGACCCCCAUUUUCUGAGGCUUUCCAGGAUGGACGCAUGCUAUCAGCUCCCCCUGCAGGUCUGACUCUUUCCUGACAGGGAAUUCCUGGAGGUCCACUGAGAAAAUGGAUUCUGGAAGGGCUCUAAAUUGUGUCGCACAGACGAAAUGCUUCGACUGCUUGGAAAUGACCCACCUUUCUGCUGGAAGCCACAUGUCCUGGGAAUGCACCAAAGUCUGAAUCUGUCAGUACCUUACUAUGCUGCAGGAAAACAAAGUCCCACCCAGAACUCCAGUGCCCAGGCAGGACCUUCCUUGCGCUAAACGCGCUUUAGAAUGUUCAAUUCUCUCUCUUCUUUGUAAGCACUGUGGCCCUGUGGUAAAUCCAUCACAGAUAAAAUGGCCUCUACAUGAGCCAUGUGCUAAAAAAGGAUACGUACACCCAUUGUGUGUUGAGUCUAAAAGUUGUUUCUCAAAAAGUUUUGGAUUGUCCCAAAUUUUAUAUGU
rnacentral:lncRNA from 1 species